ACAAUGACAAAACUAAUCCAAU
rnacentral:snRNA from 1 species